rnacentral:rRNA from 1 species
UAGGUUUUUUUUUUUUUUUUUUUUUUUUUUUUUUUUAUAAAAAGUUUUUUUUUUGUCUUUUCCUUUUUUUUAUUUGAUUAUUUUUAAUUUAGUUAAUUGUACUGUAAUGGAUAAUUAAAUUUUAUUUUAGAAUAAUAAUUUUUUUUAGUACCUUUUGUAUCAGGGUUUAUUAAUUUAAUAGAUAGAUUUUUUUUUCCCGAAAGAGAAUGAUUUACCUUUUGCUGUAUUUUAUUGUUGUAUAAUUAUUUAAAAGUUUUGGGUCGUUUUGAAAUGAAAUACGUUUUUUCUUAUAUCUGGUUAUCUAGGAAUUUGAUUUAAUCAAGAAUUUCUUUUUGUUUUUUUAUUUUCUUUUUUCAUUUUGGGUUUUUAAAUUAAGGUGGAUAAGCUCUUUUUUUAUAUAUAAUUUUAUUUUAUUUUUUUUUUGUUGGAUUAAUAUCUUUUAUCAUUUUAAGUUCGUUAUAGAUUAAUAUUAUAUUUUUUUACAAUUUAUUUUUUUACUAGAUUUAAAUUAAUUUUUUUAUUUUUAAUAAUGAUAGAAUUAGUAAAUUUAAAAAUUUUUUUUAUGAAUUAGGCAAAAUUUAAUUCCGCCUGUUUAUCAAAAACAUGUUCUAUAGUAUUAUAUUGUAGAUUUUACCUGCUCAAUGAUAAUUAAAUAGCCGCAGUAUUUUGACUGUGCUAAGGUAGCAUAAUAAUUAGUCUUUUAAUUGAGGUCUAGAAUGAAUGGUUGGACGAGAAUUAAACUUUAUUUUAAAAAUUUUAUUUGAAUUUUAUUUUUAAGUUAAAAAGCUUAGUUAUUGGAGAGGGACGAUAAGACCCUAUAGAUCUUUACUUUAUUUCAUUUUUUUUAUUUUUAGUUAAUUUUUUGAUUUUUUUGAAAUUAAGUUUUGUUGGGGUGACAGUUAAAAUUUUGAUCUUUAAUUUUUUUGAGCAUUUUUAAUGGUUUUUUGAUCCUUUUUUUUGAAUUUAAGAUUAAGAUACCUUAGGGAUAACAGCGUUAUAAAUCUGGAGAGUUCUUAUUGAUAGAUUUGUUUGCGACCUCGAUGUUGGAUUAAAAAUUUCUGUGGGGUAGGUUUUACAGUCUAAGGUCUGUUCGACCUUUAAAAUUUUACAUGAUCUGAGUUCAAGCCGGCGUGAGCCAGGUUGGUUUCUAUCUUCUUUUAUUUUAUUCUAAUUGGUACGAAAGGAUUUUUAGUAAUAUAAUAAUUUAUUU